AACUACUGAAAACAGGAAUUUACUACUAAAAUCAUUCACUAACCAAUACUACUAUCUACAAAGAGUUCUGAUGAUCUAAGGAAAACAUAGCAUCUAUUCAAAAAGCCACGAUUGAAAACAAUAAGCAACUGUCCAGUUAUACACUACUGAACUUCCAAUCCUAACUAAACAAUAGUGUAAGCAAAUCUGCAGAAAUGCAGUCACAGCGAAUCAAACAAUCCAAGCUUCAAUUCUUCAUUAAUCGAUUUCAAAUGAGUUUUUACAUAUCAAUUUAGUUCCAGCACCUGGGCUCUAGGAACAUACCUGAAAAUUGGAACACAAGUAAGGAAAGGAGGAGAUUAGAUUGCAAACAGCAGUAUUCAACGAGUUGCAACAGCAAUUCAAACCAGGCUCGAGCUCAGAAUUGUUUUGAAAAUUUAACAGUGUCAAUAUAACAGCCAAACAGUACCAAAUACUCAGAACCAAGCUCAAAAAUCAGUGCAUCUAAUCAGUUAACCCAUGACUGAUUCAACUUGUCUUCACACUUCAAAUGUUCGAACAGAAAUGAGGAAUUCAAGCAGUUUCUAAUCUUAACUAAGCUAAAAUGUUGAUUAAAAACUGAACCUUCGAAAAUGAUCUACGGAAGAGCCAUGUAACCGUUUUUCUUUGAUUUUCUGUUUUUUUUUUUUUGGUUUUUGGAUUUUUCUAUUGUUUUUGGGGUUUUGGAGUUUGAAUUUCAGAUCUUAGAUCUGAAAAUUAGAGAGCAUACUUUGGGAGGAUUUCUGAGCUCCAAAACCUCUGCUUCAAGGCAAUGGUCAUGCCUUUUUAUAGGCAAAGAUGAGGUGCAAGUCAGAUUUUCAGAUUUCAAAUUCAGUCCCUAGUUUAUUUCAGAUUAAUCCCUCAUUUUUUGACUUGUUUCCCAAGCUAGUAUCCUAAGUUGGCUGAAAUCUACACUAAAGUCCUAUUCUAGAAGGCCCUAAGGUGUUCUUCUACCUAUACAAUACCUAUACUACCCUUGUUAUAUUCUAAAAUUACUGUUCUUAUCAGAACUACCCUUUUCUAUACCUAAACUACGCUUGAAAACUCCUCAAAAUUACUGACCCAACCAAACCCCUUUUGCCUUAGUUAAACUUCAACCAUGGUUAACUAAACUGAUCUAAACUAACCAGCUAUAUCCAAUACUACUUUCAAAACUAAACGGAAACAUGAGUUAUUGAAUCCAACUACUACUUAAUUAAACCUAGCUCAUACUAUUAUUAAUCAAACUAAAUCGACAUUAAACUAAGCUAAUAUAACAAAAGUGAAAAUGCCAAAGAACAUGAACUAACGAUUAGAUUAACUAACAAAGGACUUCAACAAAAUCGAUUAAAAUUAAAGUUAAGCUAAUACAAAAUCUGGUAAAGAACUUACUUAUAUCAAAAUUGGAAAAAACCAAACUAAAGAGAGAAGGGCAGAAGGUAGACUUAUUCGAAUAGAAAAAGAAAAGAAAGAGAGAAUUACCCAAAAGACUAUCCGAGCAACGAAGUUGUUCUUCGACCUUUGAUUUUGACCGAAAAAGGGACUCAAUCGCGUGUUCUCAGAUGAAAACACAUGACCAAGAUUCAUUUUGGUCUUAAUCAGCACUUAAUUUGCUAACUCCGGAAUUUUGUCGUUCUUAGAGCUCACUUUGAAAUCAAAUUCGACGAGCUCUGUUGAGUUUUGAGGAUAACAGUCUUUCGAUUUGGAGAGAUGGGAACACGACGAACAUGUGGUAUAAAUUUGGGGCCAUUUGGGCGGUGUCGCCACCGUGGGUGGCGGAGACGGUAACAACAGAUCCGACCAUUAGAAGGUCUACAGUAAGAUUUGAAAGGAAAUGAAGGGAGAUUCAUGGAGAGGGCGUCGAAGUGGUACAGAGGUGUGAAUUUGAGAGCCACUGGAGAAGGUAGCGAUUUCUCC
rnacentral:lncRNA from 1 species